CUGGAAACCUGCCUCUGUCACUUCCCAACGCACGCCUUCCUGCCGGCCGCCGCACCAUCCAUGCUUGCCUCACUGGCCUCCGUGCUGUCUUGGUGCAUGGCUUGUUCCGCCACGGUGCACUCUCAGUAACUUACACCCUGUCUCAAGUGAUGAGUUGCUACACUGGUGUUGUGGGCCUAAGUCAUCUGGACGUGCAUUGUGCUCACUGCUGCUUUGCUGAGUUUUGGUCCGUGCAUUAUCCGUUGUGAAAACAUUGUUUCCUGCUUCACCAUUCUCGUGACUGUGGCACCGAAGCUAGCAGCAGGAAACAGGAGUAUGAGAGAUCUUUGCCAGAAUCCAGUUAAAAAAUCAAGAAAUGAUCCAGUUUUAUUCCUCACCUCAGAAAGCAUAUUUUUGUGAAAAA